rnacentral:rRNA from 1 species
CCUACGGGUGGCUGCAGUGGGGAAUAUUGGACAAUGGGGGGAACCCUAAUCCAGCCAUGCCGCGUGUGUGAAGAAGGCCCUCGGGUUGUAAAGCACUUUCAGUGAGGAAGAACGCCUGGUGGUUAAUACCCAUCAGGAAAGACAUCACUCACAGAAGAAGCACCGGCUAACUCCGUGCCAGCAGCCGCGGUAAUACGGAGGGUGCGAGCGUUAAUCGGAAUUACUGGGCGUAAAGCGCGCGUAGGUGGCUUGAUAAGCCGGUUGUGAAAGCCCCGGGCUCAACCUGGGAACGGCAUCCGGAACUGUCAAGCUAGAGUGCAGGAGAGGAAGGUAGAAUUCCCGGUGUAGCGGUGAAAUGCGUAGAGAUCGGGAGGAAUACCAGUGGCGAAGGCGGUCUUCUGGACUGACACUGACACUGAGGUGCGAAAGCGUGGGUAGCAAACAGGAUUAGAUACCCCUGUAGUC